rnacentral:rRNA from 1 species
UGGGCAACCUGCCCUCAGCUCUGGGAUAACUCCGGAAAACCGGGGCUAAUACCGGAUACGACCUUCCCUCGCAUGGGGGUUGGUGGAAAGUUCUUCGGCUGAGGAUGGGCCCGCGGCCUAUCAGCUUGUUGGUGGGGUGAUGGCCUACCAAGGCGACGACGGGUAGCCGGCCUGAGAGGGCGACCGGCCACACUGGGACUGAGACACGGCCCAGACUCCUACGGGAGGCA